rfam:Triticum aestivum genome assembly, contig: Triticum_aestivum_CS42_TGACv1_scaffold_398036_5AS
GGAUGCGAUCAUACCAGCACUAAAGCACCGGAUCCCAUCAAAACUCCGAAGUUAAGCGUGCUUGGGCGAGAGUAGUACUAGGAUGGGUGACCUCCUGGGAAGUCCUCGUGUUGCAUUCC